UAGAGAGACAAAUCUCAAAGUAAAACUCUAAAAAGAUCAUCCAUGUGAAACCACCGUUAACUAUUAACGGAAAACCACCCGUCUUCACUCUCCUACGUGCAAAAGACUCCACUGCUUCAAAACUCUGUCGUUUGACAAAAUGCUAUUCCCACAGUGUAAUGUAUAUUUCCAAGUGAGACAAACAAAAACAGCACACAUUAAAGCUGAAACAUCAGUUUAGCGGUUUGCCGUUCACAGCGGCGAUAUGAUAAACUAAAGAAAAGAGCUUUCGCCGAUUCAAAACAAUGGGCUGCGUUUUCUGCAAGAAGUCCGCUGGAGGAAAACAUAAUCCCGAUGAAGCUCCUCCGGGAAACCUCCGCCGUGAAACCAAGACGAAUCAUUUGCCUUCUUCUUCCUCCACCGCCGUAUAUGUACCGGAGGUCAUCGAAACCGGAGGGAGCAAGAAGGAUUUAGGUUCGACUCAGAUUCAAACGGCGAGAACGUGGCACACCAGUGACUUCUCCGCCGGCUCUUCUCGCCGCCCGUUGGGGAUGAAUCUCCGUGCGCCGGAAGGAUGGCCACCUUGGCUGAUUGCUGCUUGCGGCGAGUCGAUCAAAGACUUGACUCCACGGCGAGCCACCACAUACGAGAAGCUCGAGAAGAUUGGGCAAGGAACUUACAGCAAUGUGUAUAAGGCUAAGGAUCUAUUGACUGGAAAAAUUGUAGCUUUGAAGAAAGUUAGAUUUGAUAAUUUGGAAGCAGAGAGUGUUAAGUUCAUGGCUAGAGAGAUUCUUGUGCUGCGACGGCUGAAUCAUCCUAAUGUCAUAAAGCUUGAAGGGUUAGUUGCUUCGAGGGUUUCGUGUAGUCUCUACCUUGUUUUUGAGUAUAUGGAGCAUGAUCUCACUGGCCUUGCUGCAGCUCAACGUGUCAAGUUUGAUCUUUCUCAGGUGAAAUGUUUUAUGAAGCAGCUACUAUCGGGGCUAGAGCAUUGCCAUAGCCGAGGAGUGUUACAUCGGGAUAUCAAAGGUUCCAAUUUGCUGAUAGAUAAUGAUGGAAUACUGAAGAUUGCUGAUUUCGGUUUGGCUACGUUUUUCGAUCCAAAGCAAAAGCAAACGCUGACUAGUCGUGUUGUCACGCUCUGGUACCGCCCUCCCGAGCUUCUUCUUGGAGCUACCAACUAUGGAACUGGCGUUGAUCUUUGGAGCGCCGGUUGUAUCAUGGCAGAGUUACUUGCGGGCAAGCCCGUUAUGCCAGGAAGAACAGAGGUGGAACAACUUCAUAAGAUAUUUAAAUUAUGUGGCUCGCCUUCAGAAUUGUACUGGAAGAAGUACAAAUUGGCAAACGCAACCCUUUUUAAGCCCCAACAUCCGUACAAACGUUGUGUGGCUGAAGCAUUCAACGGCUUCGACCCAUCCACUGUGCAUCUAGUCGAGACACUUCUUGCCAUAGAUCCUGUUGAUCGAGGAACUUCUACCUCGGCCUUGAGUAGUGAAUUCUUUACGAGUGAACCUUUAGCGUGUGAUCCAUCAAGUCUACCAAAAUAUCCACCUUCCAAAGAGCUGAAUAUAAAGCUAAGGGACGAAGAGGCAAGAAGGCAAAAGGGUCUUGCUGGAAAAGCUAGUGGUGUGGAAGGAGCAAGAAGAAUAAGGUAUCGUGGUGAUCGAACUGGGAGAGCCAUUCCAGCUCCAGAAGCUAAUGCCGAGAUUCAAGCAAACUUAGAUAGGUGGAGAGUGGUACCACAAACACAUGGAAAGAGCAAGAGCGAGAAGUUCCCGCCUCCUCACCAGGACGGUGCUGUUGGGCACCCAGUGGAAGAUCAGUCAACGAAAAGCUCUGUAUUUGGUGCAAAGCCUGAGGCUUCUUUCGGGUCAUCGAGAUCACUGAAGGCUGGGGAAGGGACGUCAAUGAGAAAGGUUUCAAACAAAGAAGGAACCCGGGGGUCUUCUUCUAGAAAGUACAUAUGGGGGCUUAAACCUCCUCCAGCGCUGGGGCUAUCUAUGGACUCACUUUUCAGGAGCAGAUCAGAAGUUUUUGGGAACCGGAGAUAGGAUAAGUAAACGGGAAACAAGUUGAAAGUUACAUUAGUGCAUCAAGAAUAAGAGGUUGUUUCCAUUUCAAUUCAAAGGAGAGAGAUUAGUUGAAGAAAGUCAUAUUCUUUGUAGCAGAAUAGUAUGAGCGAGAUAUUGCACGAAUGGAAAUGUGGUUUGACGCUCAUGUAAAAACACAGUUCAGGUGUCCACGUCAGCACGGAGGAUGGGGCGUUUUGGACAUUUGGCGGGUCGGGAGUGGAUCGGUGUUUCUCACGCGUUCUUUUCUUUUUUAAAUUCUUACGCUCACGCGCAUGACGUUUGUUACUGUGAAAUGUUAUUUUUUCUAAAUGGGCUUCGCUUAUUUUUUUUUAAAAUUGAGCCCGCUUCUUA